UACGUAGGUGGCAAGCGUUGUCCGGAAUUAUUGGGCGUAAAGCGCGCGCAGGCGGCUUCUUAAGUCUGGUGUGAAAUCUCGGGGCUCAACCCCGAGCGGCCAUUGGAAACUGGGAAGCUUGAGUGCAGAAGAGGAGAGUGGAAUUCCACGUGUAGCGGUGAAAUGCGUAGAUAUGUGGAGGAACACCAGUGGCGAAGGCGACUCUCUGGUCUGUAACUGACGCUGAGGCGCGAAAGCGUGGGGAGCAAACAGG
rnacentral:rRNA from 1 species